UACGAAGGGGGCUAGCGUUGCUCGGAAUCGACUGGGACGUAAAGCGCACGUAGGCGGAUUGCUAAGUCAGGGGUGAAAUCCUGGAGCUCAACUCCAGAACUGCCUUUGAUACUGAAGAUCUUGAGUUCGGGAGAGGUGAGUGGAACUGCGAGUGUAGCGGUGAAAUGCGUAGAUAUCGGAAGGAACACCAGUGGCGAAGGCGGCUACCUGGACUGACACUGACGCUGAGGCGCGAGAGCGUGGGGAGCAAACAGG
rnacentral:rRNA from 1 species